GAAGAGCAGGAAGCAGGUAACAGUAGCUUUGUAAACACGGACCCUAGGCUCCGUGCUAGGACCUGAGGCUGCGCGGGUUUCACGGGGAAGUUAAGAUGACAACACGGUCUUGCUUCUCCUUUCCAGUCACUCUCAAAGAGUCCACGGAAGGAAGCCUCACCCGUGUAUCUUGUUCUCUGUUGAAGGUCCCGUUGAAGCCCCUCUAUUCCUAAGGAAGAAAAGAAAACCCGUUCUCCAGGAGAUGAUCUGAAAGAGCCAAGCUUUGGGUUCUAUAUGUCCUGAAGCCAUCAUUUGAGUGACCCUUUUGCCCUUGUACGUUAAGAAUUCUCCAGAAGGAAACUGAACAUUAUGGAUUAGGUUUGAAGAUAGGGCCGGAGAGAAGGCUCAUCAGUUAAGGUUAUCUGCUACUCUUGCAGAGGACGGAGUUCAGUUCCCAGCACCCACAAUGCCUGAGACUCUUGCUUUGGGAAUCCAAGCCAUCUGCCGGCACCUACAUUCCUGUGCAUGUACCACCCCUGCACCCCGAGACACACACACCUACGCAUAAUUAAAAGGAAAUCUUUAAAAAAC
rnacentral:lncRNA from 1 species